rnacentral:rRNA from 1 species
GACGUAGGGCGCGAAGCGUUGUCCGGAUUAUUGGGCGUAAAGAGCUCGUAGGUGGUUGUCGCGUCGAAAUGUGAAAACCCACGGCUCAACUGUGGGCUUGCAUUCGAUACGGGCAGGCUCGAGUUCGGUAGGGGAGACUGGAAUUCCUGGUGUAGCAGUGAAAUGCGUAGAUAUCAGGAGGAACACCGAUGGCGAAGGCAGGUCUCUGGGCUGACACUGACGCUCAUGCACGAAAGCGUGGGGAGCAAACAGG